rnacentral:lncRNA from 1 species
UUGCUCUGCGUGGGCCAUUUUCCUUGUCCACUGGAGAACAAGGGUUCUAAAGUAGAACUUCAUUGAAGGAAGCCUCCAUGCAGAUUUCUAAACAGCCCUUGGCUCUCAUGCAGGUGCCAGGAGAUGUUACCACUGGACCGUGAGGAGGAUCUGAGCAGAGUGGUUGAGUUGUCAAGAGAACUUAUGAUUACCAGCUUGAAGGACCUGCCGACUCCUAAUUCACUUGAUUGCUCUCCUGCUAUUCCUUGCUGGAACAGUGAAAGACAGGUCCAGCAGCUCCGAUAA